rnacentral:misc_RNA from 1 species
GCAUUUUGUUGCAUACCCUUGCACAAAACGAAAUUACAAUGGGUUAAACUUGUGAUAUCAGUAUGUAAUACAGCAAGUUGCAAGGCAAUAUAGUGAGUAAGUACAUAGGCUAUACUCAAAUGCCUAAUUUUGACACAAUUAUGCUAGUACAAAAUUCCAGUAGUGAACUUCACCGAAGGGUGAAAGAGGUAUCCGACCCUCUCAUCUCUUCUUGAAACCAUAUUUUUUACGUUCAUAAAACAGA